UACAGAGGGUGCGAGCGUUGUCCGGAAUCACUGGGCGUAAAGGGCGCGUAGGCGGCCUGAUAAGUAGGGGGUGAAAUCCUGUGGCUUAACUGCAGGGUUGCCUCCUAGACUGUUAGGCUCGAGCACGGUAGAGGCAGAUGGAAUUCCCGGUGUAGCGGUGGAAUGCGUAGAGAUCGGGAAGAACAUCGGUGGCGAAGGCGGUCUGCUGGGCCGUUGCUGACGCUGAGGCGCGACAGCGUGGGGAGCAAACGGG
rnacentral:rRNA from 1 species